AUGCCAAAAAAAUCUGAAAAACUCUGAUGCUAGCGAAAAGUCAACUAUAUAUCCUGAACGGAAGACAGUUCAAGCAGGAAAUUCAUCGAAGGCUGAGGUCCAAUACCAAGCUUCACGCCCAUCAUUUGAUAGUCAAAAGCAGGCCUCUACAAGCUCCAUUGUUGGGCAUGCUGACCAUACACAAGGAACUUCAAGAAUAGAAAAUUCAACUGCAUCACAGGUUGGACGCCAGACUUCAGAACCAUCAUUUGAUAGUCGCAAGGCUUUUACAGGCUCUAUCAUAGAGCAUGCUGAGAAUUUACAGAAAACUUCAAGAGAACAAAAUUCAACGUCAUCACUGGUUUCUGGUUCACAACCUUCGAAACCAGUCUCGAGAUUCAAAAUGCAGAGAAAGUAGCUGCAAUAUUUGGAAAAUGUUAGGUUCUUUAAGUUGGCAAUGGUGAUGGCGUCCAUAUUCGGUCAAGGUCAACGAUGUCUUUGUUAGAAUCAAAAGGGAAAGAGUUAUUGUAGGAUAAACCAAGAGGGAAAUGAGCAUCAAUGUUCAUUGGUAAAAGUGAACUGGGGGGGUUUUAGGAAUUGCUGAUGUUCCUGGACUAUGAUUACGAGUCAACAAAUUUUGCUACUAGUAUUUGCUCACGUGGAAUUGGAACACAGACACUUUAUUAGCUAUAUAGAAUUUUCUUUUUUUUUCGUAAUAAAAUAUAUAGAAUUUCUCGUAA